UACAGAGGUCUCAAGCGUUGUUCGGAUUCAUUGGGCGUAAAGGGCGCGUAGGCGGCGGGGUAAGUCGGGUGUGAAAUCUCAGAGCUCAACUCUGAAACUGCACUCGAUACUGCUCUGCUUGAGGACUGGAGAGGAGACUGUAAUUCACGGUGUAGCAGUGAAAUGCGUAGAUAUCAGGAGGAACACCGAUGGCGAAGGCAGGUCUCUGGGCUGACACUGACGCUCAUGCACGAAAGCGUGGGGAGCAAACAGG
rnacentral:rRNA from 1 species